rnacentral:lncRNA from 10 species
AUUCUGACCCUGAGAGCACCUGGCAGGUAUGUGGAAAAAAGAAAUGUGCAUUAAAACAGACCAGGUUACAUCACAAUUUUUAAAAUUUCACUGUGGAAAAAGUUACAAACGAAUGUAAACUUACCAGAAGUAAGAAAGAUAUAAUAUUUCCAAACCAGACACAGAGGAAAAUACAUCUAUUUCCUAUCAUUAAAUACUUACAAGAAGUAAAAGAUAAAAAGAAAGAGCCAAUGGAUGUAGGAAGCUUUGGGACCUCUCCUCUCCAGCUAUCUGAGAGAUACUGCUUCCCGCAAACAGUUUGCCUCUGUGAUCCUUAUUUACCUCUACCUUUUCCAUGAGAUUGAGAACACUAUAAGAAAGCCUACAAAUGCUAUGGUUGCACAUACAGAAAAAUCCAAGACCUCAGAGACUUCUUCCCAUCACUCUUUGAUGUAACUGAUUUCUCCCCAUCAGUAUCCUGAUCAUCUGGUUCCUUCAUUUCCUCUGAUCCAGGAUGACCCACCAGUAGGAGGGUGCAACUACCACCAGAGACCUCUGACCUCUGCAAGACAGCUAAUUAUAAUCACAGAUUCUCUUUCUCUAGGUAAAUUGUCAUUGUGGUGCACUUUGGUUUUCCAGAGGUCCACUACCAAAGUUCAUCUUUUCCCCAGAUGCUUCACCAUUAAAAUUAACUUUCUGCCAUCCUA